rnacentral:rRNA from 1 species
GUGCCAGCAGCCGCGGUAAUACGUAGGUGGCAAGCGUUAUCCGGAAUUAUUGGGCGUAAAGCGCGCGCAGGUGGUUUCUUAAGUCUGAUGUGAAAGCCACGGCUCAACCGUGGAGGGUCAUUGGAAACUGGGAGACUUGAGUGCAGAAGAGGAAGGUGGAAUUCCAUGUGUAGCGGUGAAAUGCGUGGAGAUAUGGAGGAACACCAGUGGCGAAGGCGACUUUCUGGUCUGUAACUGACGCUGAGGCUCGAAAGCGUGGGGAGCAAACAGGAUUAGAUACCCCCGUAGUCC